AAUCUAAAGAAGUUGUGAAUGUUGACAGCUUUUACAACAACAAGCAGCGUACUAGAAUGUUUCGCCCAUGGCGGGAUCAGCAAUUAGGGCCCCUUCGUAUGUUUAACUACACCAGCGUGCUGAACGGAAUCAAGUAUGAGACAGUUGAUAAAUGUAUUGAACUUGCUGUAGUAUUCACUGAUGGAGAUACGUGCCAUGUCAUUUAUGUUCCAAGCGUGUCGAACAAA
rnacentral:lncRNA from 1 species